UACGGAGGGUGCAAACGUUGCUCGGAAUCAUUGGGCGUAAAGCGCACGUAGGCGGUCCAGCAAGUCGGGUGUGAAAGCCCUCGGCUUAACCGAGGAAGUGCAUUCGAAAACUACUGGACUUGAGUACUGAAGAGGAUCGCGGAAUUCCCGGUGUAGAGGUGAAAUUCGUAGAUAUCGGGGAGGAACACCAGUGGCGAAGGCGGCCUGCUGGGCAGUGGCUGACGCUGAGGCGCGACAGCGUGGGGAGCAAACAGG
rnacentral:rRNA from 1 species